rnacentral:rRNA from 1 species
GAUGAACGCUGGCGGCGUGCCUAAUACAUGCAAGUCGAGCGAACAGACGAGGAGCUUGCUCCUCUGACGUUAGCGGCGGACGGGUGAGUAACACGUGGAUAACCUACCUAUAAGACUGGGAUAACUUCGGGAAACCGGAGCUAAUACCGGAUAAUAUAUUGAACCGCAUGGUUCAAUAGUGAAAGACGGUUUUGCUGUCACUUAUAGAUGGAUCCGCGCCGCAUUAGCUAGUUGGUAAGGUAACGGCUUACCAAGGCAACGAUGCGUAGCCGACCUGAGAGGGUGAUCGGCCACACUGGAACUGAGACACGGUCCAGACUCCUACGGGAGGCAGCAGUAGGGAAUCUUCCGCAAUGGGCGAAAGCCUGACGGAGCAACGCCGCGUGAGUGAUGAAGGUCUUCGGAUCGUAAAACUCUGUUAUUAGGGAAGAACAAAUGUGUAAGUAAUUAUGCACGUCUUGACGGUACCUAAUCAGAAAGCCACGGCUAACUACGUG